GGGAUUGUGGCUCAGUGGUAGAGUGCUUGCCUGGCACGUGUGAAACUCUGGGUUCUAUCCUCAGCACCA
rnacentral:tRNA from 1 species